CCUACGGGCGGCAGCAGUGGGGAAUAUUGGACAAUGGGCGAAAGCCUGAUCCAGCCAUGCCGCGUGUGUGAAGAAGGCCUUCGGGUUGUAAAGCACUUUCAGUGGGGAAGAAAGCCUUGGGGCUAAUACCCUCGAGGAAGGACAUCACCCACAGAAGAAGCACCGGCUAACUCCGUGCCAGCAGCCGCGGUAAUACGGAGGGUGCGAGCGUUAAUCGGAAUUACUGGGCGUAAAGCGCGCGUAGGCGGUCUGAUAAGCCGGUUGGGAAAGCCCCGGGCUCAACCUGGGAACGGCAUCCGGAACUGUCAGGCUAGAGUGCAGGAGAGGAAGGUAGAAUUCCCGGUGUAGCGGUGAAAUGCGUAGAGAUCGGGAGGAAUACCAGUGGCGAAGGCGGCCUUCUGGACUGACACUGACGCUGAGGUGCGAAAGCGUGGGUAGCAAACAGGAUUAGAUACCCGAGUAGUC
rnacentral:rRNA from 1 species